rnacentral:rRNA from 1 species
AUGUACCCGUGCAACUGGACCGGCAUCACCUGCGGGGACACUCUGUCAAGCAGAGGAACCAUGGUGAAGGUCAUCACAGGAAUUUCCCUUGAUGGUGCCAGCAUUGCAGGGCGACUGGACAAACUGAGAUUCCAGUCGCUCCCUUACGUUGUCAACCUCGAUCUUAGCGACAACUACCAUCUCUCCGGUGCCAUCCCUCCAGGCAUCGGCUCUCUUUCCAUGCUUUCUACCCUCAACUUCUCUGGUGAUCAGCUCAGCGGGCACAUACCUGCAUCAUUCUGCAACCUUGGACAGCUCACAGGGAUGGACCUCUCCAGCAACAAUCUCACCGGACAAAUCCCUCCUGCUUUAGGUAAUCUCUCAAGACUUGGUUUUCUUUAUCUACGUGGGAAUAGGCUCUCGGGUAACAUCCCCUGGCACCUCGAACAGCUUCAGAACAUGAGAGAGAUGGAUUUGAGCCUUAAUGACAUUUCUGGCCAUGUACCUUCCGCCCUUGCAAACCUGACCAACCUCGACUAUCUGGACCUUUCUGAUAAUCGUCUGUCAGGACCCAUACCUAAAGAACUAGGACACAUCCAAACCCUGCAAGAACUACACUUGGAGAAAAACAAUCUGAGCGGCACAAUUCCGCCCUCCCUUGGUAACCUGACAGUGCUCACAUACCUGACAGCAUAUCGGAACCAAUACACUGGUCCAAUACCGGCAGAGUUUGGGAUGCUCUCGAGCUUGAUUGGGUUGGACUUGUCAGGUAACCACAUAACCGGAUCCAUCCCUCAUGAGUUUGGGAAUCUCGUGAAUCUGGAAACCCUUGCCCUCUCGGACAAUUUGAUAGUUGGAUCAGUGCCAUCAAGUAUUGGGAACAUGUCUUCACUCAAACAAUUAAUAAUACAUAACAAUAGUAUCUCCGGGGAAUUGCCGACCGAGUUUGGAAAUUUGCUAAAUUUGGAGUAUCUUAUGUCCUAUGAAAACCAAUUGUCCGGCUCAAUCCCUCCAAGUUAUGGAAAAUUGGUCAAGAUGACACAAAUGCGACUGUUCAACAACCAGCUCUCCGGCCCUGUGCCUCCAGCACUGUCCAACCUUACCAAUUUAGUCGUCAUUGCACUGGAUGACAACCAGCUGAUCGGACACUUGCCAGAUUUGUGCCAAAGUAAAAAGCUACAGGUUUUACAAGUUCAUAACAACAAUCUAGAUGGUCCUGUCCCAAAAGGCUUGAGGGAUUGCAGUUCAUUAACAUCGCUCAUGAUCGCCAAUAAUUAUAUUGAGGGAAACAUAACUGAAGCAUUUGGUGUGUAUCCACACCUCGAUACGAUCAAUUUAUCUUCAAAUAGAUUUGUUGGGCAGCUCUCGCCGAAUUGGGGCUCAUGUCAAAACUUGACAAGUAUUAAUUUUGCACACAAUAUGAUAGAAGGCAGUAUACCUUCUGAGGUUGGGGUGCUGAAAAAUCUUGGAAAGCUUAAACUGAGUUUCAAUAGGUUGACCAGUGAGAUACCACCGGAAAUUGGCAAGUUAAGCAACCUCUAUUGGAUGGAUUUAAGAAACAAUCAACUAUCUGGCCAGAUCCCUAAGCAAAUCGGCCAACUUAGCAAUCUUGAGAUUCUUGAUUUCUCAAGCAACCUGUUGAGCGGUAAAGUGCCAGAAGAGAUGGGAAAUUGUUUGAAACUGCAGUCAUUACAUAUGAAUAACAACAGCCUUAGUGGAAGUCUUCCUGGUAGUUUGGGCCAUUUAGCUUCCCUGCAAAGAAUGCUUGAUCUUAGCAUGAAUAGUCUCAGCGGACCAAUACCGUCAGAACUCAGCAACCUAGAGAUGCUGAUGUAUGUAAACUUCUCACACAAUCAAUUCAGUGGUGCAAUCCCUGCCUCCAUUGCAAGCAUGCAAAGCCUAUCAAUAUUUGAUGUUGCAUAUAACCUCCUUGAAGGCACUGUCCCAAAUGGGAUCCAGAAUGCAUCAGCUGAAUGGUUUCUCCACAACAAAGGUCUUUGUGGAGACCUUGUUGGACUGUCUCCUUGUGAUUUGCCCCCUGCAGAUCAUAGGCGAAAGCACCAAAAGAUUAUACUACCAGUCAGUCUAACUAUGUUUGUCGCUACUAUUUCAAUAACAGCAGGUGUGAUAGCCUUUAUGAUUUGCCGCAAGAAAGUACCUCAAAAUACUGAUGAUGUGAGCAAAAGGGAUGUAUUCUCUGUAUGGAGCUUUGAUGGCAGAAUAGCAUUUGAAGAUAUUAUCAAUGCAACUGACAAUUUCGAUAAGAAACAUUGCAUUGGAGAGGGAUCAUACGGCAGUGUUUAUGAAGCAAAACUUCAAGAUGAACAAGUGGUCGCAGUAAAGAAACUCCAUGCAGGCGAUGAAGAGGCACAAGAUGAAGAAAGAUUCCGGCAUGAGAUUGAAAUGUUAACAACAAUUCGCCAACGCAGCAUCGUCAAGCUAUAUGGAUAUUGUUCUCAUCCGCGGUUCCGGUUCCUUGUGUGCCAGUUUAUACAGAGAGGAAAUCUAGCUUCAACCUUAAGAAAUGAAGAACUAGCAAUCCAGUUCCACUGGCAAAGGAGGACAGCUUUAAUAAGAGAUCUGGCUCAAGCCAUCGCUUACCUCCAUCAUGAUGUUCACCCACCCAUAAUUCAUCGAGACAUCACAAGCAGAAACAUCUUACUAGAUACUGAUUUCAAAGCAUUUGUCUCGGACUUCGGUAUUGCAAGAAUGUUAAAACCUGAUUCGUCAAACUAGAGUGCACUAGCAGGGACCUACGGCUACAUAGCACCCGAAUGUUCCUACACUUCCCUAGUUACAGAGAAAUGUGAUGUAUAUAGCUUUGGCGUUGUGGUGCUUGAGGUGUUGAUGGGCAAACACCCUGGAGAUUUGCAGGCUUUUCAUUCUUCACUCGAGGACCAGUUUCUACUGGAAGAAAUUUUGGACAAACGACUUCCACAACCCGAAGCUGGGGAGGAAGAAGUGAGACGGUGCAUCUCCGUGGCAUUUGAGUGCCUAACUCCUUCACCCAAAGAAAGGCCAACUAUGCUGAAAGUUUAUCGAGAUCUUUCCAUCUGAAGUCACAUGUUAAAUUCUUCCAGAUGUAUCAUCUUAGCCUUGUUUAGUUCUCAAUAAAACUUGGGCUAACUUAGCUGUCCAAGCAUUUUCAACCCGAAUAAAUAAGGCUAUUUCUGUUGGGCAUCAUAGAAUAUAUGGGCCACGAACUCACGAUAGAGUCGUGAUCUAAACGCUCUUACAAUUCUUUACAGAGAGAGUAUAAUUGUUCUUUCUAUGAUCAUACAGAUCAUGGAUCAUGCUUAUGAUAAUAUUUUGGG